AAGGUUAAGCCUCACGGUUCAUUAGUACCGGUUAGCUCAACGCAUCGCUGCGCUUACACACCCGGCCUAUCAACGUCGUCGUCUUCAACGUUCCUUCAGGACCCUUAAAGGGUCAGGGAGAACUCAUCUCGGGGCAAGUUUCGUGCUUAGAUGCUUUCAGCACUUAUCUCUUCCGCAUUUAGCUACCGGGCAGUGCCAUUGGCAUGACAACCCGAACACCAGUGAUGCGUCCACUCCGGUCCUCUCGUACUAGGAGCAGCCCCCCUCAGUUCUCCAGCGCCCACGGCAGAUAGGGACCGAACUGUCUCACGACGUUCUAAACCCAGCUCGCGUACCACUUUAAAUGGCGAACAGCCAUACCCUUGGGACCUACUUCAGCCCCAGGAUGUGAUGAGCCGACAUCGAGGUGCCAAACACCGCCGUCGAUAUGAACUCUUGGGCGGUAUCAGCCUGUUAUCCCCGGAGUACCUUUUAUCCGUUGAGCGAUGGCCCUUCCAUUCAGAACCACCGGAUCACUAUGACCUGCUUUCGCACCUGCUCGCGCCGUCACGCUCGCAGUCAAGCUGGCUUAUGCCAUUGCACUAACCUCCUGAUGUCCGACCAGGAUUAGCCAACCUUCGUGCUCCUCCGUUACUCUUUAGGAGGAGACCGCCCCAGUCAAACUACCCACCAGACACUGUCCGCAACCCGGAUCACGGGUCCACGUUAGAACAUCAAACAUUAAAGGGUGGUAUUUCAAGGUCGGCUCCAUGCAGACUGGCGUCCACACUUCAAAGCCUCCCACCUAUCCUACACAUCAAGGCUCAAUGUUCAGUGUCAAGCUAUAGUAAAGGUUCACGGGGUCUUUCCGUCUUGCCGCGGGUACACUGCAUCUUCACAGCGAGUUCAAUUUCACUGAGUCUCGGGUGGAGACAGCCUGGCCAUCAUUACGCCAUUCGUGCAGGUCGGAACUUACCCGACAAGGAAUUUCGCUACCUUAGGACCGUUAUAGUUACGGCCGCCGUUUACCGGGGCUUCGAUCAAGAGCUUCGCUUGCGCUAACCCCAUCAAUUAACCUUCCGGCACCGGGCAGGCGUCACACCGUAUACGUCCACUUUCGUGUUUGCACAGUGCUGUGUUUUUAAUAAACAGUUGCAGCCAGCUGGUAUCUUCGACUGAUUUCAGCUCCACGAGCAAGUCGCUUCACCUACGUAUCAGCGUGCCUUCUCCCGAAGUUACGGCACCAUUUUGCCUAGUUCCUUCACCCGAGUUCUCUCAAGCGCCUUGGUAUUCUCUACCUGACCACCUGUGUCGGUUUGGGGUACGAUUUGAUGUUACCUGAUGCUUAGAGGCUUUUCCUGGAAGCAGGGCAUUUGUUGCUUCAGCACCGUAGUGCCUCGUCAUCACGCCUCGGCCUUGAUUUUCCGGAUUUGCCUGGAAAACCAGCCUACACGCUUAAACCGGGACAACCGUCGCCCGGCCAACAUAGCCUUCUCCGUCCCCCCUUCGCAGUAACACCAAGUACAGGAAUAUUAACCUGUUUCCCAUCGACUACGCCUUUCGGCCUCGCCUUAGGGGUCGACUCACCCUGCCCCGAUUAACGUUGGACAGGAACCCUUGGUCUUCCGGCGAGCGGGCUUUUCACCCGCUUUAUCGUUACUUAUGUCAGCAUUCGCACUUCUGAUACCUCCAGCAUACCUCACAGCACACCUUCACAGGCUUACAGAACGCUCCCCUACCCAACAACGCAUAAGCGUCGCUGCCGCAGCUUCGGUGCAUGGUUUAGCCCCGUUACAUCUUCCGCGCAGGCCGACUCGACCAGUGAGCUAUUACGCUUUCUUUAAAUGAUGGCUGCUUCUAAGCCAACAUCCUGGCUGUCUGGGCCUUCCCACAUCGUUUCCCACUUAACCAUGACUUUGGGACCUUAGCUGGCGGUCUGGGUUGUUUCCCUCUUCACGACGGACGUUAGCACCCGCCGUGUGUCUCCCGUAAUAACAUUCUCCGGUAUUCGCAGUUUGCAUCGGGUUGGUAAGUCGGGAUGACCCCCUUGCCGAAACAGUGCUCUACCCCCGGAGAUGAAUUCACGAGGCGCUACCUAAAUAGCUUUCGGGGAGAACCAGCUAUCUCCCGGUUUGAUUGGCCUUUCACCCCCAGCCACAAGUCAUCCGCUAAUUUUUCAACAUUAGUCGGUUCGGUCCUCCAGUUAGUGUUACCCAACCUUCAACCUGCCCAUGGCUAGAUCACCGGGUUUCGGGUCUAUACCCUGCAACUUAACGCCCAGUUAAGACUCGGUUUCCCUUCGGCUCCCCUAUUCGGUUAACCUUGCUACAGAAUAUAAGUCGCUGACCCAUUAUACAAAAGGUACGCAGUCACACGCCUAAGCGUGCUCCCACUGCUUGUACGUACACGGUUUCAGGUUCUUUUUCACUCCCCUCGUCCGGGGUUCUUUUCGCCUUUCCCUCACGGUACUGGUUCACUAUCGGUCAGUCAGGAGUAUUUAGCCUUGGAGGAUGGUCCCCCCAUAUUCAGACAGGAUACCACGUGUCCCGCCCUACUCAUCGAGCUCACAGUAUGUGCAUUUUUGUGUACGGGGCUGUCACCCUGUAUCGCACGCCUUUCCAGACGCUUCCACUAACACACACACUGAUUCAGGCUCUGGGCUGCUCCCCGUUCGCUCGCCGCUACUGGGGGAAUCUCGGUUGAUUUCUUUUCCUCGGGGUACUUAGAUGUUUCAGUUCCCCCGGUUCGCCUCAUUAACCUAUGGAUUCAGUUAAUGAUAGUGUGACGAAUCACACUGGGUUUCCCCAUUCGGAAAUCGCCGGUUAUAACGGUUCAUAUCACCUUACCGACGCUUAUCGCAGAUUAGCACGUCCUUCAUCGCCUCUGACUGCCAGGGCAUCCACCGUGUACGCUUAGUCGCUUAA
rnacentral:rRNA from 1 species